rnacentral:rRNA from 1 species
GCAACGCGAAAAACCUUACCUACCCUUGACAUGCCAGGAACCUUGCCGAGAGGCGAGGGUGCCUUCGGGAGCCUGGACACAGGUGCUGCAUGGCUGUCGUCAGCUCGUGUCGUGAGAUGUUGGGUUAAGUCCCGCAACGAGCGCAACCCUUGUCACUAGUUGCCAUCAUUUGGUUGGGCACUCUAUUGAGACUGCCGGUGACAAACCGGAGGAAGGUGGGGAUGACGUCAAGUCCUCAUGGCCCUUAUGGGUAGGGCUUCACACGUCAUACAAUGGUCGGUACAGAGGGUUGCCAAGCCGCGAGGUGGAGCCAAUCCCUUAAAGCCGAUCGUAGUCCGGAUCGAANUCUGCAACUCGACUACGUGAAGUCGGAAUCGCUAGUAAUCGCAGAUCAACAUGCUGCGGUGAAUACAUUCCCGGGUCUUGCACAC